CAUCAAUGAUGAAAAUAGCCAAAUCUGAGCAUCAGAAAGAAGGCUUGUCAGUCUUCUUGAUGCAUGAUCUCUAUUGUUCUGAGA
ensembl:snoRNA